rnacentral:lncRNA from 1 species
GGAAAUGGACGAGGUGGAGCUAUCGCUAUCUCAAGCAGAGAGCAAGUACGACGAGUACGUAGAAAUGUGCAGGAAUUUGAGAGAUGAAAAUCAACAUUUGAAGGAUGAUAUUGAAGGACGAUCGAAAGAACAAGAAGAGAAGAUUAUCGAAAUCAGAAAAGGUACAAUGCAGGUUAUAUGGUAUACAGCUAUUUCAAUUAAGGUUGUCCCCCAAGCAUAGCGGAAAAGUCGAAUACGAGCGCGAAAGCCUGCUGGGAAUCGCUAAUAAAUUCAUUCAUUUAUUAGCGAUUCCCAGCAGCCUUUCGCGCUCGUAUUCGACUUUUCCGCUUUGCUCGGGGGACAACCUCAAUUGAAAUAGUUGUAUACGGUAUAAAAACCACGAAGGCACUUUGUCUAGAAGUUUUUAACCACGCAAAAGGCUUCCAAUUUCAGGUAUAGUUGGAUACUUCAACCAGGAGAACCAAUGUAAUUAAUAACAGACCUAUAACUUUUAUAUUCCAGUCUCUCUAAGAGUUUCGAUAUUUAUCCAUAGUACCAUACCUUAUAUUUGCAUCACCCACGAUAUAUAUCACCUCACGAGCUUGUAGAAAUCUUAUUAUUAUUAUAUAAUAAUAUUGCUAAUUCACAGACUUAGAGAACAAGCAUGAAACAGAGAUGAACGAAUUAAAGGCCAGCCAGGAAAAAGAUAUAACCCGAUUGAAAGAAAUUCAUGAGGAUGAAGUGCUAACUCUGAGAGAAAAACUUGACGCGGUAAG